AAUUCACUUCUCUAGGGCCCAAUGGCUGCAAGCACAAACAGGAGAUAACGGUAAGUGAAAAGCUGGUGAAACCCAUACCACUAGGAAAUCACAAGAGAUGCGGGAGACGAGAUUGAAAAACCCCCCUUUUUCGAAGCCUAACAAUAUCAAGAUUGCAAUGCAAGCACCAAAAAGACCAAGAAACCGUGUAACAUACUGGAUCACCAACCUUUGAAAUUCAAUAUCCAAUCCUUAAUUACUGUCACCAUGUGUAACAUACUGGAUCACCAACCUUUGAAAUUCAAAAUCCAAUCCUUAAUUUCUGUCACCAUGUGGUCUACACAUCCACCCAACAAACAAAAACAAGUUGGCCUGAUAAACAAAAGAAAAUAGUAGCAGAGAAGAUAUGUAGCGAGAAAACCAAAGGUAGAUGUGCACUUUAUGGGGCUAUCAAAAGAUCCAUAUUUGAGAUUGAAUACUUAUCAGGUGUCCAUAACCAUAAGAGAGAUCUCACAAGUUGGAUAAUUGAAGAACAUAAGCAUCUGGAUUGAAGAUGAAAAAAGGGCAGCAGAAUACACUACAAACACUUGUGAAAAGAUUUAUCUCAGGUGACAAUUUCUGUAUUACCAGCAGUUUGGACAAAGAGAGAAGGGAAUCACUAUCAUUAGGGAAGGAAACUGGAAUGAAAAUCUCAAUAAUUAUAGAAGUCUAAACUACAGAAACCUCAAUGCAAAUCGGCAAGGAAACAUGCGGCUCCAUGGAAAGACGCAUUCACUGCUCUAAGGCCCAAUGGCUGCAAGCACAAAUAGGAGGCAACAUUUAAGUGAAAAACUGGUGAAAACCAUACCACUAGGAAAUCAAAAGAAAUGCCAGAGACAAGAUUGAAAACCCCCUUUCUCGAAGCCUGACAAUACCAAGAUUGCAUGCAAGCACCAAAAAGACCAAGAAACCAUGCAUAACGCAUGCUGGAUCACCAACCUUUGAAAUUUCAAAAUCCAAUCCUUCCAUGUGGUCUACACAUCCCAACAACAAACAAAUACAAGUUUGCGUGAUAAACAAAAGAAAAUAGUAGCAGAGAAGAUAUGUAGCGAGAAAACCAAAGGUAGAGGAGCACUUUAUGGGGCUAUCAAAAGAUCCAGAUUUGAGAUUGAGUACUUAUCAGGUGUCCAACCAAGUGCCCAUAACCAUAAGCGAGAUCUCAUCAGUUGGAUCAUCGAAGAUACAUAAGCAUCAGGAAUGACAACUGAAAAUGGCAGCAGAAUAUGCUAUACACACUUGUGAAAAGAUUUAAUCUCAGUUGACAAUUUCCGUAUACCAGCAGUUUGACAAAGAUAAGUAAUCACUCUGAUUAGGGAAGAAAAUUGGAUUGGAAAUCUCAAUACUCAUAGAAGCCUAAACUACAGAGACCAACGGAGACCUCAAUGAUCGGCAAGGAAAACAAGGCGGGGCUCCAUGCAAGGAGGAAUUCACUUCUCUAGGGCCAAUGACUGCAAGCAAAAACUAGGGGUAACAGUAAGUGAAAAGCUGCUGAAACCCAUACCACUAGGAAAUAAGAGAAGCCAGACACAAGAUUGAAAUUCCCCCUUUCUCGAAGCCUGACAAUAUCAGGAAUGCAAUGCAAGCACCAAAAAGACCAAGAAACCGUACCACCAACCUUUGAAAUUUCAAAAUCCAGCCCUUAAUUCCUGUCACUGUGUGGUCUACACAUCUAUCCAACAAACAAAAACAAGUUGGCAUGAUAACCAAAAGAAAACAGAAGCUGAGAAGAUGAGUAGGGAGACCACCAAAAGUGGAAGAGCACUUUAUUAGGCUAUCUAAAGAUGCAGAAUUGAGUACUUAUCAGGUGUCAAUAAUGAUAAGAGAUCUCAUCAGCUGGAUCAUCGAAGAACAUAAGCAUCUGGAUUGAAAACUAAAAACGGCAGCAGAAUACACUAUACAUGCUUGCGGAAAGAAUAAUCUUAAUUGAGAGCUUCCAUAUAACAGCAGUUUUUGACAAAGCUUAGAGACACGAAAAUCUCCAAUACCUCUUAAGCCUAAGACCUGAGAACUUGCUCUGCACCUUCCCGAGCACAAACACCAAAGCAAUACACCUUCAGAAUCACUUGCCCCCUUAGAUCAAUCUUAAUACUCAUCCAUUGAAAACUACACCACCUGGGAUGAAAUCCACCAGAUGACCAAACCAAAAUAUGCAUUGAAGAAGUCAAGGUAAAAGAAGUUGAUGCGAGAAUAAGACAAUAUUAGCAUCAAUAUUAGCUGCAAGACAUCAAAUCCAAACUGAUAGCUCCAUGCUGAAGUUGUGCCCUGCUUGUCUUGUGACGCAUAGGGCUAGAACAGAUGACGGGCUCAUUCAUCUGAAGAUCCAAGUCAGCGGGGAGCAAAAUUGCUUGAGGUUUCAGAGUAGCAAUAGCUCAAAUAGUAUGGAAAGAAGUGUACACUACCGUAACUUCUCAAAAUAGGAGGGGGAGCUCAUGUUGAAUCAGAGACAGAAAAAUUCCCUCUAUCCAAAGUUACAACUCCAAAUCGAAAAGGAACCUGAUCAAAAAAACUAAAUAGCAAGAUACUCCCCUAUUGUCAAUGGAAAAAAUAAACGCAGUACUAAUUGUGCAGCGAAGACUCACAACAAAAAUAUCAGAAUUGCGCACAAAACCUGAAAGCAUGCUUGGUUCCCUCGAAAUUGCAUCUAGAGUGGAUCUCACUGCCUUUCAAUUUCUUAACAUCGCAAAUCAAAGGAUUGCAAACAAGAAACCCACAUAUCAUAAUAACAAGAAAAUAAUCAAGGAUGACAACAUAAAAGAUAAACUAUACAAGGGACGAAAGCAACCUUAUGAACAUAACCAAGGUAACUGGCAGAGGUCACAACAAGAAGCACAAAAAAGAAAAUUCACAAAAAGCUGUUUAUAAAGGGUAAUCAGCGAGAUACCAUGACUAUGAGUAGGAUGAAGGUACUAGCUACAAUUCCAUGAAAAGAAAUCACCCACCGGAAAGUCACCAUAGAGAAGACUCAUCAAAACCACUGGAAGCCCUUAGAAUCAUUCUCCUAUAGUUGUUACCCAGACCUGAUCAAACAUUGGCAACAUUGGCAAACAAACCCUCUCUAAUCAACAAAAAAGAAAAACAAAACAGAAAAAAUUGCAAAUUGAAUGCGCACACAAAAAAAAAAAAAAAAAACUCAAAAAGGACUCCCAAACCCUGCCACUUGAAUUGCUUGGCCCGAGCUUAAUUCUCAAAGCAGUCAGAUCAUAGAAUUGCAGAUCAGAAACCUACAUCGCACACAAAAUAGAGCAAAUCGAAAACAAAAUAAUAAGAAACAGAUAAAGUACAAAAGGAAAGCAACAAUAUGAAGAUAGAGAGUGAUGGUAGUGACUGAGAGCUAAGAAAUCAAAACCAAUCUCAACGCUCCAUGAAAAGAAGAAUUC
rnacentral:lncRNA from 1 species